rnacentral:ncRNA from 1 species
CUGGGCGUCUGGCAACGGGCGCUGAAUACCGUGGAGAAGUCAGCAAAGGGCAUAGUAGGUGGCGCCCCCACCGAAGGCC